rnacentral:lncRNA from 1 species
GGUAAACCAUGGACAUUUUCCCCUUGUAUCCUCAGAAAGCUGAGGGAGAAGAAUGAUGAGAUAGAGCAGAAGCUGGAGGAGGUGUUCUCAGCAUCUGUCAGCGCUGCCAUUGGGGAGGCUGAGGCCGCCCCAGCGUCCUCGGAGCGUGUGGCCUCCAUCGUGCUCGGGGUGCUGCUCGCCGUCACCCUCGUGGCCUUCCUGGUCUAUGUCCUGCUGGAUCUGAAAAGGAAAAGAAAGUAUAAAAAACAGGAUUUGGUUGAGAAAGUUGAAAUUACAGAGGGCUUUGAUAACCCAUGGGCAGCUGAUGAAAAUGGAAGUCUGAAAAGCUUAGAGAAACCAGAGUACAUGAAUAAUGGGAGAAAUGAGAUGAUGUCAUUUGACAACCUGGAAGGCACCAAAGGUGCUGAAAAAAAUGAAAUUCAGGCCUCUGAAAAAGACAAAUACCUGGAGACAGUGCUAAUGGAUUACAAAAGUGAGAAAAUUGGUGCACCUGAAAAAGCUGCUGAAAGUAGAAACGUGGAGGUCCAGCCCACUGUGGGAUUCACAACAAAACAGGUAAUGAGCUUUUUGACUGCAAAGCACAGAAUGAAAGGUUUUUUAUUAUUAUUCAUCAAAUAACUGAAGGAAUUAUCACAAAAGCAAAUCUGAUGGAAUUUAAAAAAAAAAAAAAAAUCAUGUGAAGUAAUGCCUGGAAGUGUUCAAGGCCAGGCUGGACAGGGCUAGGACCAACCUGGCCUAGUGCAAGGUGUCCCUGCCCAUGGCAGGGGGUUGGGGCUGGACAAUCUCUUAAGGUCCCUUCCACCCCAAACCAUUCUAUGAUUCUAUAAAAACAAUCUUAGAGGAAGGGCUUUGUCCCUGCCUGGAAGAAGGAGCAGGACUUUAAUCCAGAAGUGAUGACUCUCUUCUGUCUUAAUGGAAUGGGAACAGUAAAGGGCUCACAAUUUUAUGAUUUCUACUGUUUAUAGUAACUCCACACUUAACCAUUUGUAGCUCUCUGCCUCACC